AGGUCGUGCAUCCAGCAGAGCUCCGACUCCUAUUGGCAAAGCGAAGAAGAAAGGUCGUGCAUCAAGCAGAGGUCGCGGGGAUGACUGGCAUCAAGCUGGCUGGCAACCAAACAAUUUCCCCUUCACUGCAACCCCUGGACGCCGGAGGGCUGCUGCGGAGCUGGAUAGUGACCUGCCAGCUGACUUCCUGACGCUCUUCCUGACUGACGAGCUGCUCCAAAAUAUUGUGGAUCAGACCAACCUGUAUGCAAGUCAAUAUUUUGAAGCACACCCUGACAAUCUGCCAUAUAGCAGAGGGAAUGCAUGGAAACCAGUGUCAG